GACGAACGCUGGCGGCGUGCUUAACACAUGCAAGUCGAACGAGGUCCAACCAGUGGCAACACUGGGGAAGACCUAGUGGCGAACGGGUGAGUAACACGUGAGGAACCUGCCCCGAAGACCGGGAUAACCCUCCGAAAGGAGAGCUAAUACCGGAUACCUCCACCGAGCCGCAUGACUCGGUGAAGAAAUGGAUUCCGCUUCGGGAGGGUCUCGCGGCCUAUCAGCUUGUUGGUGGGGUAACGGCCCACCAAGGCGUCGACGGGUAGCUGGUCUGAGAGGACGAUCAGCCACACUGGGACUGAGACACGGCCCAGACUCCUACGGGAGGCAGCAGUGGGGAAUCUUGCGCAAUGGGCGAAAGCCUGACGCAGCAACGCCGCGUGCGGGAUGAAGGCCCUCGGGUUGUAAACCGCUUUCAGCAGGGACGAAACUGACGGUACCUGCAGAAGAAGCCCCGGCCAACUACGUGCCAGCAGCCGCGGUAACACGUAGGGGGCAAGCGUUGUCCGGAUUUAUUGGGUACG
rnacentral:rRNA from 1 species